rnacentral:rRNA from 1 species
UCGCUCCUACCGAUUGAAUGAUCCGGUGAAAUCUUGGGACUGUCGCAUAAGUUGGGGUUUCUCGACUCGUGCUUUGGGAACUUGCUUAAACCUUAUCAUUUAGAGGAAGGAG